rnacentral:rRNA from 1 species
AGAGUUCGAUCCUAGCUCAGGAUGAAUGUUGGCAGCAUGUUUAACACAUGCAAGUCGGACGGGAAACACGGGAAACGGUGUGUCCAGUGGUGGAAGGAUGAGUAACGCGUAAAAACCUGCCCUUGGGAGGGGAACAAUAGCUCGAAACGGCUGCUAAUACCCCGUAGGCUGAGGAGCAAAAGGAGGAAUCUGCCCGAGGAGGGGCUCGCGUCUGAUUAUCUAGUUGGUGAGGCAAUAGCUUACCGAGGCGAUGAUCAUUAGCUGGUUCGAGAGGAUGAUCAGCCACACUAAGACUGAGACACAGCCCAGACUCCUACGGGAGGUAGCAGUGGGGAAUUUUCCGCAAUGGGCGAAAGCCUAAUGGAGCAAUACCGCGUGGAGGUAGAAGUCCCACGGGUCGUGAACUUCUUUUCCCGGAGAAGAAGCAAUGACUGUAACUGGGGAAUAAGCAUCGGCUAACUCUUUGCUAGCAGCCACGGUAAUACUGAGGAUGCAAGCGUUAUCCGGAAUGAUUAGGCGUAAAGCGUCUGUAGGUGGCUUUUUAAGUCCUCCGUCAAAUCCCAUGGCUCAACCCUGGACAGGCGGUGUAAACUACCAAGCUGGAGUACUAUAGGGGCAGAGGGAAUUUCCGGUGGAGCGGUGAAAUGCGUAGAGAUCGGAAAGAACACCAAUGGUGAAAGCACUCAGUUGGGACGACACUGACAUUGAGAGACGAAAGCUAGGGGAGCGAAUUAGAUUAGAUACCCCAGUAGUCCUAGCCGUAAACGAUGGAUACUAGGUGCAGUGUAUAUCGACCCAUGCAGUGCUGUAGCUAACGCGUUAAGUAUCCCGCCUGGGGAGUACGUUCGCAAGAAUGAAACUCAAAGGAAUUGACGGGGGCCUGCACAAGCGGUGGAGCAUGUAGUUUAAUUUGAUGCAAAGCAAAGAACUUUACCAGGUCUUGACAUGCCGCGAAUCCUCUUGAAAGAGAGGGGUGCCUUCGGGAACGCGGACACCGGUGGUGCAUGGUUGUUUUCAGCUUGUGCCGUAAGGUGUUGGUUUAAGUCCCGCAACGAGCACAACCCUCGUGUUUAGUUGCCAUCGUGAGUUUGGAACCCUAAACAGACUGCCGGUGAUAAGCAGGAGGAAGGUGAGGAUGAUGUCAAGUAUUCAUGCCCCUUAUGCCUUGGGCGACACACGUGUUACAAUGGCCGAGACAAAGGGUCGCGAUGCCGUGAGGGUGAGCUAACCCCAAAAAACCGUCCUUAGUUCGGAUUGCAGGCUGCAUCUCGCCUGCAUGAAGCCGGAAUCGCUAGUAAUCGCCGUUCAGCCAUACGGCGGUGAAUUUGUUCCCUAGCCUUGUACACACCGCCCAUCACACUGUGAGAGCUGGCUAUGCCCGAAGUCAUUAGCUUAACUGCAAGGAGGGGGAUGCCGAAGGCAGGGCUAGUGACUGGAGUGAAGUCGUAACAAGGUACUGGAAGGUGCGGCUG